UACGAAGGGGGCUAGCGUUGCUCGGAAUCACUGGGCGUAAAGGGCGCGUAGGCGGAUCUUUAAGUCGGGGGUGAAAGCCCAGAGCUCAACCCUGGAAUUGCCUUCGAUACUGGAGAUCUUGAGACCGGAAGAGGUAAGUGGAACUGCGAGUGUAGAGGUGAAAUUCGUAGAUAUUCGCAAGAACACCAGUGGCGAAGGCGGCUUACUGGUCCGGUUCUGACGCUGAGGCGCGAAAGCGUGGGGAGCAAACAGG
rnacentral:rRNA from 1 species